rnacentral:rRNA from 1 species
UACGAGGGAUCCUAGCGUUGUUCGGAAUCAUUGGGCGUAAAGGGUGUGUAGGCGGACUUGUAAGUCAGUUGUGAAAGCCCCGGGCUCAACCCGGGAAGUGCUUCUGAUACUGCUUGUCUUGAGUAUUGGAUAGGUGAGUGGAAUUCCAGGUGUAGUGGUGAAAUACGUAGAUAUCUGGAGGAACACCGGCGGCGAAGGCGGCUCACUGGCCAUAUACUGACGCUGAAACACGAAAGCGUGGGUAGCAAACAGG